UUGGAUCCGGCCGCCCCGGCACCACCGGUCUUGGAUCCGGCCGCCGCGCUGCCUGCCUCUGCUCCUCACCUGUCCGCCUCCGCGCCCGCACGAGGGGAUGCCAAGCCCUCGUGCUCCUCGAUCGGCAGCCACAGGGGGCCUCCCGCGCACCUUCCCUUCCUUUCUUCUUCUCCUUCCUUCUCCCUCACACCCUCUCUCUCUCUGUUCUCCUGCAGGUACCCGCCGGCCAUCAUGGACAGCAGCCAUGCAGCAGGAGCUCGCCACUGAAGUCCCCCGAGCACCGUACGCCCCGAAUCCUCUGCAGCAACCUGGAAGUUCGCCGCCGCCACCUUGGGCGGUUCAACUAACGCACCGCCGCCCUCACCUCCCUCCCCAACAGACGCGCCGUCGUGACUCCACCUCCUGGCUGGACCACCGCGUGCCUCCACCUCCUGGCUUCCCGGUGCCGCCCCGUUGGCCUCCUCCCACGGCCCCGCUUAAUCAAGCCCCGCCGUCUUCCCCGUGCGAGCCAACCAGGCCAGACGGCCACCCCCGCAAGCACCCGUCCUCGGUGUUCGCUUGGUGGAGACUAGGAGCAGCGACAGAGACGCCGCCCCAAGGCGGAAUCCCUGCCUCCGCUUGGUUCCGUCCACAGCAGCACACCACAUCUCCCCCGUCGUCCAUCUGCCAUGUUCAUGUCCACAGCCGUUGAAGCUGUAGAUGGAGCGUGACAUGCAACAGUGUCGCCCCAACAAGCACGCAACGCCGACGACGACAGGGUGUGGCGUGCGUCUGUCCGGCAUGCUAGGCGUGGUGCCGAGGGGGCAGCAGUUUGAAUUGGCUGGGGGUUAAAGUUCAGGUAAUGCUAUUGUCUGGUGGCAAAGGACCAUGCAGGCUGUUUCGUUACUGAAAAAACGCGUGACGCAAGGAACAAGAAUUUUUCAAUAAACUCCUACUCUUAUUCUUUUCCCCUUCGACUUUCUCUGCCAUGGAUGUGUGCAUGCGUGCUAUGUGCGUGAGUGCGCUACAACAAUUUGUGUAAAAGAAGCAUUUUCAAUUGGGCAAAAUUAGUUGAUGGUUGUCGAAGUUCAGACAUUUGUAUUGGUAACCUUCAGUAAUUAUAGAAUGAGAAGUAGUGUGUGC